ACGUGUUCUAAGCGGUGUUGAUUUUAUCGUAAGAACCUUGCUAUUCUAAACGAUACGGUUAUUAGAAGCUCGUUCAUGAUCUUCUAACAAUCGAACACGUCACACGCGAAAUGCACCGAAGUACACAUUGUUUGUGAAACAAAAGAGUUAAAAGUCGUCUUCCCUGCAAGUAAAGUUACAGACAAUGAGAAAUAUAACGAUCGAUAAAAUGAAACGAAAACCAUUAACCAAUGUCAUACGACUGUAAAUUAGCAGUUUUACACGAACAAUUUUGCGAUUUGACGUUAAGAGUAAAUUGAAUAUUCUCCAUCAUUAUUUACGUAACACGGAGAAUGACCAAGUAUUUACAUUUAAAUAUAGCGAAGUAUACCACACUUUGUCGUGUUGCUACAAUUUUGAGCCCGGUGAAUCGAUUAAAAUUACGUAUAUAUGUAGGUUGAUGAAAAUGGUUGAAAAAAA